GAUGAAGAACGUAGCGAAAUGCGAUAAGUAAUGUGAAUUGCAGAAUUCAGUGAAUCAUCGAAUCUUUGAACGCACAUUGCGCCCGCCAGUAUUCUGGCGGGCAUGCCUGUCUGAGCGUCAUUUCAACCCUCAUGCCCCUAGGGCGUGGUGUUGGGGAUCGGCCAAAGCCCGCGAGGGACGGCCGGCCCCUAAAUCUAGUGGCGGACCCGUCGUGGCCUCCUCUGCGAAGUAGUGAUAUUCCGCAUCGGAGAGCGAUGAGCCCCUGCCGUUAAACCCCCAACUUUCCAAGGUUGACCUCAGAUCAGGUAGGAAUACCCGCUGAACUUAAGCAUAUCAAUAAGCGGAUGA
rnacentral:misc_RNA from 1 species